rnacentral:misc_RNA from 1 species
UCCGGCUUAUCACCGGCAGUCCCCCUAGAGUGCCCAACUAAGGGCGAGGGUUGCGCUCGUUGCGGGACUUAACCCAACACCUCACGACACGAGCUGACGACAGCCAUGCAGCACCUGUCUCCGGUCCAGCCGAACUGAAGGGAUCGAUCUCUCGUUCCCGCGACCGGGAUGUCAAAGGCUGGUAAGGUUCUUCGCGUUGCUUCGAAUUGAACCACAUGCUCCACCGCUUGUGCGGGCCCCCGUCAAUUCCUUUGAGUUUCAACCUUGCGGUCGUACUCCCCAGGCGGGGUACUUCCUGCGUUAGCGCCGGCACCCAGAGGGUCGCUCCCCCAGGCACCUAGUACCCAUCGUUUACGGCGUGGACUAC